UGUCAUACUUCCAAGAAAAGCUUGCACUGUCAUAGAUAAAAAACGCCUGUACCAUAACCGACACAGGUGGGUAGGUAGAGUAUACUAAGGGGCGCGAGAUAACUCUCUCUAAGGAACUCGGCAAAAUAACUCCGUAACUUCGGGAGAAGGAGUGCCUUAUUCGUAAGGUUGCAAUAACAAGAUCCAAGCAACUGUUUAUCAAAAACACAGGUCUCCGCUAAGUCGUAAGACGAUGUAUGGGGGCUGACGCCUGCCCAGUGCCAGAAGGUUAAAGAAGUUGGUUAGCAAUUGCGAAGCUGAUAACUGAAGCCCUGGUGAACGGCGGCCGUAACUAUAACGGUCCUAAGGUAGCGAAAUUCCUUGUCGGGUAAGUUCCGACCCGCACGAAAGGCGUAAUGAUUUGGAUACUGUCUCGGAGAGGGGCUCGGUGAAAUAGACUUGUCUGUGAAGAUGCGGACUACCUGCACCAGGACAGAAAGACCCUAUGAAGCUUUACUGUAACUUGAAAUUGAAAUUGGACUUUAUUCGCGCAGCGCAGGUGGGAGGCGUUGAUUACAAUCUUGCGGGAUUAUUGGAGCCAUCAGUGAGAUACCACUCUUGUAAUGUUAGAUUUCUAACUUUGAAUCAUUAUCUGGUCAAAGAACAGUUUCAGGCGGGCAGUUUGACUGGGGCGGUCGCCUCCUAAACGGUAACGGAGGCGUACAAAGGUUUCCUCUGAACGGUUAGAAAUCGUAUCUAGAGUGUAAAGGCAUAAGGAAGCUUGACUGUGAGACCUACAAGUCGAGCAGGGACGAAAGUCGGUCUUAGUGAUCUGACGGUACUGAGUGGAAAGGCCGUCACUCAACGGAUAAAAGUUACUCUAAGGAUAACAGGCUGAUCUCCCCCAAGAGUUCACAUCGACGGGGAGGUUUGGCACCUCGAUGUCGGCUCAUCGCAUCCUGGGGCGGUAGUACGUCCCAAGGGUUGGGCUGUUCGCCCAUGAAAGCGGUGCGCGAGCUGGGUUCAGAACGUCGUGAGACAGUUCGGUCCAUAUCCGGUGUAGGCGUUAGAAUAUUGAGAGGAGCCUUCUUUAGUACGAGAGGACCGAGAAGGACAUACCUCUGGUGUACCAGUUAUCGUGCCAACGGUAAACGCUGGGUAGCUAUGUAUGGAGUGGAUAACCGCUGAAAGCAUCUAAGUGGGAAGCCCACCUCAAGAUAAG
rnacentral:rRNA from 1 species